rnacentral:lncRNA from 1 species
GGAUGUGGAGUUCUGACUCCACAUAGUUCUCACCUGGCAAUAAAAUGAAUAUAUUUGGUCAAGCAUUGAAGAGUUGUUUACUCAGUGUGAAGCAGUGCUUCUUACUGUUAGACAAUGUUCAAGACCAAUUAAACAAACAAACAACAACAGCAACAUCAAAACAGUGAAGUCUCUUUACUUACUGGACCUUCAGAUAUAACUUGCUAAUCCAAUUUUGUAAUAUUUCUGAAUUAACAUCAAUGUGGGCUCUAAUCCUAUGGCAUGGUACGAACGGGUCAUCAAGUGCAGCAGUAGAUAGAAGGAGUUUCUGUCCUCCCUGCACUGCAGUGAUGGAUACUGUAUCACAGUAUUUUGAAGGCCAUAUAGUCUACUCCUGCAACUGAGGAAGCACAAGGGUAUGCUUCCCUUCUAGGAAGACUGAAUGUGGAUAGGACUAAUUCAGGACAACCCAGCAAAGAUAUUGGAAUAUUGUAUCUGUUCCAAGAAAGAUAAAAUAAAUAGUCAUUAUUAAAAACACUACCAGCAACUAAGAAAAUGGCAAAUGGAAUCAUAAUUUCUCCUUUCAGAAGAAACAAAAUUUGUUUUACAAAGAUGAGAAAAAUCUAAAAUUUUCAAAAGAAGAAGGGCAUUGGGGGCAUCUAUAUCACAAGAAAUCUGGAAACCAAAAAUGUAACAAGGUCCUGCUCCUAUGACAUGUCAGGCAGAUUCAGACCACCAGUCUCCAGGGCUGCUGACUGGAGCUGGAGCUUCAGCAGUUCUCAGAGUGGGCUGUCCUGUGGUAGGUUUCUGAAAAGCAUGAACGUCCUGGCUAACAAGCUCCAGCACUCCUCAGUAUCUCAUGUGGCAAGCUGUUACAGAAGCCAGGAAUGCUGGAGAGCAAGGUGUGUUUCAGAAACAUGGACAUACUCCUUGACUGUAUGCUGGGAGCUGCCAAGGAUGCACCACAGACAGUGCCCAAGCUUGUGUGUUACCCUGCUGCCAGAGACAGAACACUUCCUUCUGUAGGCUACUGGUUUGUCCAUCACACAGCUGUGCUCUUGUGGAGGAGCAGAAAGGAAGCUGGACCAUCUGAGACACAUACAACCUGAGAAUCAAGGAAGGGACUGAAAUGGACUGUCUUAGGCCUCCUAAUAUUAUUACAGCUCUAAGGACAAGAGGCACACAUUUAGCUACCCAUUGAAUCAACGGAAAGCAGUAGGCCUCUUCACUUCAUUUUACAGAUGUUUGGUUAAAUGCCUUAUGUAAUUGAAGUAGAGAGUGUGAAUACUGCUUCUGAUAAGAAUACAGCUAUAUAGUCCCAAGCAAUAUAUACUGGAGUGAUUAUGGAAGAUAAGAGGACUCAAUGGAACCAUAUCAGCAUUCAAAAGAUGGUGUCUAAAAGUCCCCAGAAACAUUCACCAUUCUGUAAAAACAGCUGAUUUGGAAAGACCCUAUUUGUAUCCUUUAAUUACAUUUCCCACGUUCUGCAGUAAAUGCCAUUCCUUUGAGAGAGGAACCUUCAAGCCUGUGUCACUGGGAUCAAACAUUCAAGAAAUGUGAUGGGGGGAAGCACAGGCAUCAGCAGAUGGCAGCUUGCUUAACCCAAGCACCAGAUGAAAAGCAAAUGUAUUAAAAGCUCUGACGUCAAAAGACAGGCAUCUUUCCAAGAGAAAUUCUGUCAGAACUUCAUAUAAAUCAAAAGACAGAUUGUGAAGCUUUUUAUUGGCAAUAGCACUUGUUCAUGAAGUAAGAUAAAUGAGUAGGGAGCAGAAAGGUAAGCCAAAAGGCAUCUUCAUUUUGCAGACCUUGCCUUGCAGCUCUGGAAUUUCCUGAACUGACAAUUGUUAAGAAAAGCCAGCGAUGCUGUAUUCACAUUCACAAUUAACUGCUAAGAAAAGAAAAUUGCAAUCACAAGAUUUGCUUGCUAAGUAGAUAUUUAAUUUGAAUUUGAAACAAAAAGGUACUUUUUAGCCUGCUUUGCACAUCUCUUACUGUGGUUAGAGCCAGAACCUUAAUGCCAAGUAAAUUUAAAGCUGCUCUAAACUACUUAUGCAUUUGGAUGUCUUUCUCUGAGUA